rnacentral:rRNA from 1 species
AGUGAACGCUGGCGGUAGGCCUAACACAUGCAAGUCGAACGGCAGCACAGUAAGAGCUUGCUCUUACGGGUGGCGAGUAGCGGACGGGUGAGGAAUACAUCGGAAUCUACUUUUUCGUGGGGGAUAACGUAGGGAAACUUACGCUAAUACCGCAUACGACCUACGGGUGAAAGCAGGGGAUCUUCGGACCUUGCGCGAUUGAAUGAGCCGAUGUCGGAUUAGCUAGUUGGCGGGGUAAAGGCCCACCAAGGCGACGAUCCGUAGCUGGUCUGAGAGGAUGAUCAGCCACACUGGAACUGAGACACGGUCCAGACUCCUACGGGAGGCAGCAGUGGGGAAUAUUGGACAAUGGGCGCAAGCCUGAUCCAGCCAUACCGCGUGGGUAAAGAAGGCCUUCGGGUUGUAAAGCCCUUUUGUUGGGAAAGAAAAGCAGCAGGUUAAUACCCCGCUGUUCUGACGGUACCCAAAGAAUAAGCACCGGCUAACUUCGUG